rnacentral:rRNA from 1 species
UACGGAGGGGGCUAGCGUUGUUCGGAAUUACUGGGCGUAAAGCGCGCGUAGGCGGCUUUGUAAGUUAGAGGUGAAAGCCCGGAGCUUAACUCCGGAAUUGCCUUUAAGACUGCAUCGCUAGAAUCGUGGAGAGGUGAGUGGAAUUCCGAGUGUAGAGGUGAAAUUCGUAGAUAUUCGGAAGAACACCAGUGGCGAAGGCGACUUACUGGACACAUAUUGACGCUGAGGUGCGAAAGCGUGGGGAGCAAACAGG